rnacentral:lncRNA from 1 species
GGUCCUUCUCCAUUAAUUCCAGGGGAAAAUCAAAGAGAUCUUGAAGCUUAUGUAAGUUUAAAUCAGAGAAGAGAUAAAAGAUUUGGAAUAAAUAUUCCAAAGCUGCAGUGUUAGAAGGAGAAUAAAAAUUCUUCAUCCUUGAAUGGCUGUAGCUGUGCCAUGGUUGUGAUUCAUUACCAGAACAAGAACAAACACGUUUUUGAAGGCUGCACAUUCCCUGUAACUGAAAUAUAACAAGGCAGAGAACAUUGUGCCUCUACCUCCAAACCAGGAUUAGACUUUAUCUUCAGACUAAGGAUUCUACCACUGGCCGUUUUACUGAUUUGAUUGGUGGAAAAUGUAGAUGGUUUGGAUCACAUACAGUUGGCGUGACUUGUACAGCUUCUUUGACGAUGUUGUUACCACAACUGCCAUAGCACUUUCCUGUGUAGAUAGCAUUGUUAGGCCACAGACUCAAAUCUGCCAUAAACAGCGGACAACAUCUUCACAAGAAAGAACCACAAUCCUACAGCAAAGCCCAAGGAUAAAUGCAGUCUGUUCAUGGAAGAAAAGCUACCUGGCAAAAGGAUUAUUCUUAAACUAGAUCAUUUCAAUGGCCUCAACCGGCAGAGUGGUGAACUGCAGUGAAACAUGACGACCGGAGGAAGACAGAAAAGACUUCUUAAACAGCUUGCUACAGAAGAGAGCCACAUCUUCAGGCAUACAGCGGUGUCUAUAAGAACUUGCUAAAUACUGCCGGUGUCCUUGCAGCCUUGCUCUCUAGUCUUUAACUAAAUCAGAUGCUAUCAGACUCCUCAUUAAGUUUAGAAAGUCUGUGAAGGGGAGGUAGGAAACUCUUCAGACAGCCUUACCUGACAGUUAGGGAAGUGUUAAUUUUCCUUGUCUUUUGCCUAGCCACAGGUAGGCAUUGUUUGCCAUUAAUUUUAAGCUGCCUGCUAAUACUUAAAUUAAAACUCUUCAGAGACUUUAUUUUUUAGUGCUUGAGAAGUCAUUUGACAGCUCAUGAAGUGGCAGGUGAGUACUGGCAAGAUUGAAGACUAGGUGUUGUCCAAGGGCAAAUGUACUUGGCAAGGAAAUCAAGCAAAUUUGCAACUAAAACAGCUGGUCAUGACAUGCUAUACUUAAAGUAAAUGACACUUAGGGUGGCCCAUUCUAACUAUAUAAGGAGCCAAGUACAAGCUUGCUCUAUGUGCAUUGCCAGACUUUUAUCCGGGGGAGGAGGGGGGUAAUGGGAGGAAGGGUAGAACGAAGAGAUAAAGAUGAUAUGCGGUCUCAGAAUAAAGGGUUUUGAAAGACUGAUGGCCUAGGUUUC